UGCCCGGAAAGUGUCUGCAGAUAAGGUGU
rnacentral:piRNA from 1 species